UCUUCAAUUGUGCCCAGGAAACAUCUAUACAGUUGGUAGUAAUUGGUGAGGAUGGGGUUGUACAGUCUAUUUGUGAACAGGCUGUGUUUGGAACAAUUAAGGAUCUUGCAGUUGUGAGCUGGAAUGAAAAGUUCCAUGCACCAAUUCCACAGACACAGGGAAGAGAUCUUCUGGUGAUUCUUUCUGAGUCUGGGAAGCUCUCUUUUCUUACAUUUUGCAAUGAAAUGCACAGGUAAAAUAUUUAUGUUUUUAAUAGCUCUCGCUCACUCUAGGGUUUUGUAAAAUCACCCCAGUGGGUG